rnacentral:rRNA from 1 species
GUAGGCGGUUUGUCGCGUCUGCCGUGAAAGUCCGGGGCUCAACUCCGGAUCUGCGGUGGGUACGGGGCAGACUAGAGUGAUGUAGGGGGAGACUGGAAUUCCUGGUGUAGCGGUGAAAUGCGCAGAUAUCAGGAGGAACACCGAUGGCGAAGGCAGGUCUCUGGGCAUUAACUGACGCUGAGGAGCGAAAGCAUGGGGAGCGAACAGGAUUAGAUACCCUGGUAGUCCAUGCCGUAAACGUUGGGCACUAGGUGUGGGGGACAUUCCACGUUUUCCGCGCCGUAGCUAACGCAUUAAGUGCCCCGCCUGGGGAGUACGGCCGCAAGGCUAAAACUCAAAGGAAUUGACGGGGGCCCGCACAAGCGGCGGAGCAUGCGGAUUAAUUCGAUGCAACGCGAAGAACCUUACCAAGGCUUGACAUGAACCGGAAAUACCUGGAAACAGGUGCCCCGCUUGCGGUCGGUUUACAGGUGGUGCAUGGUUGUCGUCAGCUCGUGUCGUGAGAUGUUGGGUUAAGUCCCGCAACGAGCGCAACCCUCGUUCUAUGUUGCCAGCGCGUUAUGGCGGGGACUCAUAGGAGACUGCCGGGGUCAACUCGGAGGAAGGUGGGGACGACGUCAAAUCAUCAUGCCCCUUAUGUCUUGGGCUUCACGCAUGCUACAAUGGCCGGUACAAAGGGUUGCGAUACUGUGAGGUGGAGCUAAUCCCAAAAAGCCGGUCUCAGUUCGGAUUGGGGUCUGCAACUCGACCCCAUGAAGUCGGAGUCGCUAGUAAUCCCAGAUCAGCAACGCUGCGGUGAAUACGUUCCCGGGCCUUGUACACACCGCCCGUCAAGUCACGAAAGUUGGUAACACCCGAAGCCGGUGGCCUAACCCCUUGUGGGAGGGAGCUGUCGAAGGUGGGACUGGCGA